GAAGUGAACUAUGCCUUUAAUGCACAGCUAUCCGUGGAUCACCCAAAAAUUAUUAGAAAGAUAAGUUAACAUUUUUAGAAUUGAUCUCCCACCAAUGCAUUAUAUCUGUUAUCUGCUGAUCUGCUUGUAAGUUGUUGUCAGUUUUUAACAUCCAAAUAUGGAUAAAUGUUUUACAUUUGCAGAAUAUCAAAAUUUUUCAUUUUAAUUUGACCGUCCUAGUUUGCGUUAUGUACACUGGGCUCUAUAAUAUAAUCUCCUUUUGGGUGUUAUAGUUUUUGGUAAACUGUUGAAGAGUCAUAGGUUGAGUAAAUUUAAAUUUUUUUGUUUCUUUUGUUUGUCUUUUUCAGAACAGGCAAUUGAUGAGGAGAGUUUUUUGCUUUUAGAUGAGGGGACCAUUAACUGCCUAAUUCCAAAGAUCGGUCUUAGGCUGAAGUUCCUGAAAUACUACAAAGAAUUUACCAAGCUCGGACACAAAAAAGGGUCUAGCAUCUGCCUUGGUACAAGCAUUCCCCUGUCUGCACGAUAAAACUGCUGGUGGUUAUGAAACAUGGUAUGCCCAAUGCCGAAAUAAUAGACCAGCCACUGGGUUCAUUGAAGAGAGACUGAGGAAUAUACGAAAGCGACUGAGGCGCUUGAGACGACCACAAGGAGAGAAAGAAGAUGCACCAUGCAGGACAGUCAUGCCAGGUAAUGGGUAGACUCAAUUCUUAAAGGAGCAGUUCAUGCAAAAAAUAAUCCCUGCAAACUCAAACUCCCAUGACUUUAAGAUGUCAAGACAAAAGGACUUAUUUUGUUUAUAAUUCAGAAAAAAAGAAGCAUCCUCUCAUUUUCAACUGCAUUUUUUUGCAGCAAAUUUCUUAACAUGUAAAUAUUUGUAUAAAUAUAAAACGAUUCAACAACUGAGACAAAAACCUGACAACAUUUUGCAGAAAUUUAAUGAACAGAAAUUAAAAAAGAGGGUGCAGUCAGUAUGUGGUGUACCCAGCUAAUGUGCUACAGUGUAUCUCUUUUUCUUGGAAUACAGCAGAUUUGCCAUUUCUUUUUAUGAGAUGUUACUGGGGGUACAGUGCAAGGAUAAAUAAAGAACUGAUCUUUCAAUAAGUUUGCUGGUGAAAAAAAACUCUUGCUUGAUUUUGGCAAAAUGUUAAUAUGACAGAUGCAGGUGUCUGAGAUGUAUAAAGCCAAUACUAACUGUAGCAACAUGGCGUUUUUUUAAUUAUUGUUUAUUAUGAUGAUUGUAUAUUUCAUAGAAACAUUGUGUUAAAUGUAACAAUUGGAGUGAAGAGAUCAAUAUAAUAUGAGUGUGCAGUGCACGAUGUUAAAGCUGUUAUGUAAUUUUUUUUACAUGCAGCAUUUAUCCAAACAAUGACACUGACACAUCAAAUAUGCAAAUAAGAACAUUAACU
ensembl:lncRNA